rnacentral:rRNA from 1 species
GGAUGUGAUGGGGAGCGAAAUUUAGUAGCGAAGUAGCUGAUUUCACACUGUCAAGAAAAGUCUCUAUCGAGGUUAAAGGUACCCGUACCGCAAACCGACACAGGUGGGUGAGGAGAGUAUCCUAAGGCCAGCGAGAGAACUGUUGUUAAGGAACUCGGCAAAAUGACCCCGUAACUUAGGGAUAAGGGGUGCCACCAUCAGGUGGCCGCAGAGAAUAGGCCCAAGCGACUGUUUACCAAAAACAUAGGUUUCUGCUAAGUCGCAAGACGAUGUAUAGGAGCUGACGCCUGCCCGGUGCUGGAAGGUUAAGGGGAUCUGUUAGAGCAAUCGAAGCAGUGAACUUAAGCCCCAGUAAACGGCGGCCGUAACUAUAACGGUCCUAAGGUAGCGAAAUUCCUUGUCGGGUAAGUUCCGACCCGCACGAAAGGCGUAACGAUUUGGGCACUGUCUCAACAACAGACUCGGUGAAAUUGUAAUUCCGGUGAAGAUGCCGGAUACCUGCGACAGGACGGAAAGACCCCAUGGAGCUUUACUGUAGCUUGACAUUGGGUCUUGGUACUACAUGUACAGGAUAGGUGGGAGGCUUUGAAACCAGGACGCCAGUUUUGGCGGAGCCAUCCUUGGGAUACCACCCUUGUAGUACUGGGACUCUAACCAUAGGCCAUGAAUCUGGUCUUGGGACACUGUCAGGUGGGCAGUUUGACUGGGGCGGUCGCCUCCCAAAAGGUAACGGAGGCGCUCAAAGGUUCUCUCAGUACGGUCGGAAAUCGUACGUAGAGUGUAAAGGCAAAAGAGAGCUUGAUUGCAAGACAUACAGGUCGAGCAAGGAUGAAAAUCGGACUUAGUGAUCCGGUGGUUCUGCGUGGAAGGGCCAUCGCUCAACGGAUAAAAGCUACCCUGGGGAUAACAGGCUUAUCUCCCCCAAGAGUCCACAUCGACGGGGAGGUUUGGCACCUCGAUGUCGGCUCAUCACAUCCUGGGGCUGUAGUAGGUCCCAAGGGUUGGGCUGUUCGCCCAUUAAAGUGGUACGCGAGCUGGGUUCAGAACGUCGUGAGACAGUUCGGUCCCUAUCCGUCGCAGGCGUAGGAAAUUUGAGAAGACCUGUCCUUAGUACGAGAGGACCGGGAUGGAC